ACGAACGCUGGCGGCACGCUUAACACAUGCAAGUCGAACGAGAGAAGAGAAGCUUGCUUUUCUGAUCUAGUGGCGGACGGGUGAGUAACACGUGAGCAAUCUGCCUUUCAGAGGGGGAUACCGAUUGGAAACGAUCGUUAAUACCGCAUAAUAUAAUUGAACCGCAUGAUUUGAUUAUCAAAGAUUUAUCGCUGAAAGAUGAGCUCGCGUCUGAUUAGCUAGUUGGUAAGGUAACGGCUUACCAAGGCGACGAUCAGUAGCCGGACUGAGAGGUUGAUCGGCCACAUUGGGACUGAGACACGGCCCAGACUCCUACGGGAGGCAGCAGUGGGGAAUAUUGCACAAUGGAGGAAACUCUGAUGCAGCGAUGCCGCGUGAGGGAAGAAGGUUUUAGGAUUGUAAACCUCUGUCUUCAGGGACGAAAAAAGACGGUACCUGAGGAGGAAGCUCCGGCUAACUACGUGCCAGCAGCCGCGGUAAUACGUAGGGAGCGAGCGUUGUCCGGAAUUACUGGGUGUAAAGGGAGCGUAAGCGGGAUCGCAAGUCAGAUGUGAAAACUAUGGGCUUAACCCAUAAACUGCAUUUGAAACUGUGGUUCUUGAGUGAAGUAGAGGUAAGCGGGAUUCCUAGUGUAGCGGUGAAAUGCGUAGAUAUUAGGAGGAACAUCAGUGGCGAAGGCGGCUUACUGGGCUUUAACUGACGCUGAGGCUCGAAAGCGUGGGGAGCAAACAGGAUUAGAUACCCUGGUAGUCCACGCCGUAAACGAUGAUUACUAGGUGUGGGGGGACUGACCCCUUCCGUGCCGCAGCAAACGCAAUAAGUAAUCCACCUGGGGAGUACGACCGCAAGGUUGAAACUCAAAGGAAUUGACGGGGGCCCGCACAAGCAGUGGAGUAUGUGGAUUAAUUCGAAGCAACGCGAAGAACCUUACCAGGUCUUGACAUCGUAUGCAUAGCUCAGAGAUGAGUGAAAUCUCUUCGGAGACAUAUAGACAGGUGGUGCAUGGUUGUCGUCAGCUCGUGUCGUGAGAUGUUGGGUUAAGUCCCGCAACGAGCGCAACCCUUACUGUUAGUUGCUACGCAAGAGCACUCUAGCAGGACUGCCGUUGACAAAACGGAGGAAGGUGGGGAUGACGUCAAAUCAUCAUGCCCCUUAUGACCUGGGCCUCACACGUACUACAAUGGCUGUCAACAGAGGGAUGCAAAGCCGCGAGGUGGAGCGAACCCCUAAAAGCAGUCUUAGUUCGGAUUGUAGGCUGCAACCCGCCUACAUGAAGUCGGAAUUGCUAGUAAUCGCAGAUCAGCAUGCUGCGGUGAAUACGUUCCCGGGCCUUGUACACACCGCCCGUCACGCCAUGGGAGUCGGUAACACCCGAAGCCUGUAGUCUAACCGCAAGGAGGACGCAGUCGAAGGUGGGAUUGAUGACUGGGGUGAA
rnacentral:rRNA from 1 species